AUAGGUGAAGCUUGUGGGCUACAACCGGAGUACAUGGACGAGUAGCUGCUGUGGACGGAGGGCGGGGACGUGGGCAAGGGCUUCCGCAUGGUGAACAACAUCUACCUCAACUUCAACGCGCUCCACGGCCACAAGGACCACGGCGGCGUCCACGAUGGCACCGAGGUCGAGCUCUGGGAGUAGUGCAAGGGCGACAACCAGGCCUGGCGACAACCAGCGCUGGAAGAUCGUCCCAUGGUAGAGUGUGCCUUCUUCAUGCCGUGUCCAUUGUUCGUGUUCAAGUCGAGAGAAUAAACUAGGACCGAAUCACUGAAAAGACGAUCUCAGUCAGUGUGCCGCUUGAUCGAGACCGGAUCGCCUCUUUGUCUGAGGCAAAAAUUCAGGAUGUUGAUGAGCUGCAGGGCACUCUAGCAAGUUGUCAUUUGAGUGCCGUCUGGAUCCCUGCCUUGAACCAUGCGCACGUGUCUUCUCCCGUGUGUCUAUGAGAUUAUCCUUUUCCUUCCACCCGUCACGAGUGUGUAUGUGUGUGUGUGUUUGUCGUAAACCAUGGUUUAUUUACUUAUAUACUGUCCGUGUCAAGAAUUGAUCUUGGCCAA